UACGUAGGGUGCGAGCGUUAAUCGGAAUUACUGGGCGUAAAGCGUGCGCAGGCGGUUUUGUAAGUCAGAUGUGAAAUCCCCGGGCUCAACCUGGGAACUGCAUUUGAGACUGCAAAGCUAGAGUGUGGCAGAGGGUGGUGGAAUUUCCGGUGUAGCGGUGAAAUGCGUAGAGAUCGGAAGGAACACCAGUGGCGAAGGCGACUGCCUGGACCAAUACUGACGCUGAGGUGCGAAAGCGUGGGGAGCAAACAGGAUUAGAUACCCCUGUAGU
rnacentral:rRNA from 1 species